CAGUAGCCACGGUAAUACAGAGGGUGCAAGCGUUAAUCGGAAUUACUGGGCGUAAAGCGCGCGUAGGUGGUUUGUUAAGUUGGAUGUGAAAUCCCCGGGCUCAACCUGGGAACUGCAUCCAAAACUGGCAAGCUAGAGUAUGGUAGAGGGUGGUGGAAUUUCCUGUGUAGCGGUGAAAUGCGUAGAUAUAGGAAGGAACACCAGUGGCGAAGGCGACCACCUGGACUGAUACUGACACUGAGGUGCGAAAGCGUGGGGAGCAAACAGGAUUAGAUACCCCUGUAGUCCCUGUCUCUUAUAC
rnacentral:rRNA from 1 species